rnacentral:lncRNA from 1 species
UGUAUCUCAAUUUGAUUUAUUUACGAAUCAUUUUUAUUUAUUUAUUUUAUUUUUUCAGAAGAGAGAAUUAUUUAUUUAUGUAUUGGCUUUUCUGAAUUUAUGGAAUGUUUCAUGGAUAUGUUUCAGUACAAUUUCACAAAACCUCUAUGAGACAAUGGAAAGUCAGGGAUAGUUGUCGGGUGGGGAAAAGAAACAUAAAAUUUAAUAAGUAUCUAUAAAUUUAGGAUAAUCAAAUCUGAUACUCAUUACAUGAAUUUCAGAGUGCCUUUUAUUACCUGGUACUUCACAUGUUCAAAACAGAUCUCAUUUUGAUUCCAGCUGCGAAUCCUCAACAGUUCAGUCUUCAAGAUCUCCAGAUAUGCUGGAAGGGGGGGCCGUUACCUCUGUUCCGAAAGAGGAACCAAUCCACUGUGAAGGACGCAGCACUCCCGAGCAGGAAAGACAUUGCACAUUCAGAGAGAUGUUGCAUGUGAAGACACUGCAAAAAAGAAAAAAA